rnacentral:lncRNA from 1 species
ACAUGAUUGUAAAAACUUCACAGGUUUCAUUAAUCUGUAAGAGGAAGUCAGCAUUUCCCCACUGUAAGUUAGUCAUUGUUGUUUUUUCCUAAGUAUGUAAAUGUUAAAAAGCACCCCCAACAGUUUAUUGUGCCUUUCAUUAGCAAAUUGUGUUUCUAUGAAGAUGUUUUUCUAGAAUUCGUGUGUUUGAUAUUGCUGUUUUAAAUUUGCCAAAAUUUUUUCCCCUCACUCUGAUAUCUGAAAAAUGCCACUGAACUCCUUAUCCAUUGUGGAGAGAGCCAUUUAUAAUACACUAUCUGGACAUUUCUGUUCCAGGUAGCAGAAGGCCAAGGCUCAAUUACCAGUAAUUGUUAUAGAAAGUACAUGUGCUCCAUGGAAUGUUAAUUAUUGGCAUUCAUCGCCAAGCUAAGCAGUUGAUA